CCCACAUUGUGGUGAUCAAAGUGGAGGCCCUCUCUGAUCCUUGACCUGAAAGUGCUUCCAUUUUGUGUGCCACUGCGUUGG
rnacentral:pre_miRNA from 1 species